rnacentral:rRNA from 1 species
UGCCAGCCGCCGCGGUAAUACGAAGGGUGCUAGCGUUGUUCGGAAUUACUGGGCGUAAAGAGCAUGUAGGCGGUUAAUUAAGUCAGAUGUGAAAGCCCUGGGCUCAACCUGGGAAUUGCAUUUGAUACUGGUUAUCUAGAGUCCGAGAGAGGUUAGUGGAAUUCCCAGUGUAGAGGUGAAAUUCGUAGAUAUUGGGAAGAACACCAGUGGCGAAGGCGGCUAACUGGCUCGGUACUGACGCUGAGAUGCGAAAGCGUGGGGAGCAAACAGGAUUAGAUA